rnacentral:tRNA from 1 species
UAGCUCAGUGGUAGAGUGCUUGCCUUGCAUGCAUGAGGCCUUGGGUUUGAUUCCUUA